GCCCGGAUGGCAGUCGGCCGCUUCUCUGGCUCUCGCGGAACCGGCGGCGUCUGUGUCACCCCGACGCCUGGGCUCGAGUUCAAUAUGAGUCGUCACUGUUCUCCUAACUGGUUUCCAAGUCGGAAAGAAGCGCCGACCGCAACCUGCGGCUUGCGUAAUCGAGGGGCACGUGUAACGAUCAGACCGCAUCCGAGUUUCCAGGGCGACUCCUGGGCCCGCCCGAGAACGUGUCAGUUAGCCGGCGCUGAGCCCUGCGAGAAGUCCUAGAUGGAGGGGCGCGGCCCUGCCCUCUGGGAGCAGGCUCGGCUUGUAGGUGGGAGAUCGAGGGUCCACGCCCGACGGUGACCUACGCUUACGAUAAGGUGCACAAAGAACGCUCAAGCGCAAAGCUCAAUAUAGUCUGACCUUCGCCGGUUCCUAUGUGACUACAUCAGAGCUCAAGACGAAACAUUUCCAGCCCAGGAAUUUUCCUCUGCUCCUUCCCAGUCAAAAUCCAUUGUCCCUGAAUCCUCUUCGGCCCAGACCCAGAAGACAAACAUGAUGUGGGCUUCUUGUAAGAUGCAGUUUUUAUAUCUGACUCCUUUUGCUCAGAAUCAUCUGUGAGAUGCAUAUUGUUUGCAAAUAUGUUGGAAAUGUUAUUAGCUGCUUAUUUUGCCAAAAAUGGAAUCAUCUUGUGCAUAUUGUUUGUCAUGGUCUUUCCCUUUAAUAAAUAUACUGGCAACAGUUUC